GCCCCUGUAGUUUAAUGGAUAGAACAAAUCACUCCUAACGAUUAAAUGGAAGUUCGAUUCUUCCCGGGGGCACCA
rnacentral:tRNA from 1 species